rnacentral:tRNA from 1 species
AAGGGUGUGGCUCAGUGAUAUAGCACAUGCUUAGCAUGUUUAAAGCCCUGGGUUUGAUCCCCAGCACUCUCU